rnacentral:lncRNA from 1 species
UGAAGCCAGUCCCUGUUAACUGUCACAUGAAGUCAAAGCUCUUCUGGUUAGUUGCCAAGUGUUUCCCCUUUCAUCCCUGGCCUGAAGGUGAGCUCUCUCUACUCCGCUGUAUGCCGCUGAAGAUUUCUCCUUUUUCAAAAUCUUUGUAACACUUUUUUGCUCUAUAGGAAGCAUGUCUGGGGAGACCUCAGGAAACUUACAAUCAUGGCAGAAGGCGAAGAGGAAGGAGGCAUGCCCUACAUGGCUGGAGCAGGAGGAAGAGCAAAGCAGGGAGCUGCUACACAUUUUUAAACAAUUAGAUCUCGUGGGAACUCACUCACUAUCACGAGAACAGAAAGAGGAAAUCCACCCCCAUGAUCCAGUCACCUCCCACCAGGGCCCUCCUGUAAUAUUGGGAAUCACAAUUCAACAUGAAAUUUGGUUGGGGGCACAAAUCCAAACCAUAUCAAUCAUCAUGUUUAAAAUAUUGUAGAAAAAAUAAAAGGCAUGGAGUCAGAAGACCA